rnacentral:rRNA from 1 species
AGUGAACGCUGGCGGUAGGCCUAACACAUGCAAGUCGAACGGCAGCACAGGAGAGCUUGCUCUCUGGGUGGCGAGUGGCGGACGGGUGAGGAAUACAUCGGAAUCUACUCUGUCGUGGGGGAUAACGUAGGGAAACUUACGCUGAUACCGCAUACGACCUACGGGUGAAAGCAGGGGACCUUCGGCCCUUGCGCGAUUGAAUGAGCCGAUGGCGGAUUAGCUAGUUGGCGGGGUAAAGGCCCACCAAGGCGACGAUCCGUAGCUGGUCUGAGAGGAUGAUCAGCCACACUGGAACUGAGACACGGUCCAGACUCCUACGGGAGGCAGCAGUGGGGAAUAUUGGACAAUGGGCGCAAGCCUGAUCCAGCCAUACCGCGUGGGUGAAGAAGGCCUUCGGGUUGUAAAGCCCUUUUGUUGGGAAAGAAAUCCAGCUGGCUAAUACCCGGUUGGGAUGACGGUACCCAAAGAAUAAGCACCGGCUAACUUCGUGCCAGCCGCCGCCGUAA